UGCGGACUGGUGUAACGGUAGCACUAAUGACUCUGGAUCAUUCUGUGAGGGUUCGAAUCCUUCGUCCGCAGCCA
rnacentral:tRNA from 1 species